rnacentral:rRNA from 1 species
CAGCCGCCGCGGUAAUACGUAGGGUGCGAGCGUUAAUCGGAUUUACUGGGCGUAAAGCGUGCGCAGGCGGCCCGUUAAGACAGGUGUGAAAUCCCUGGGCUCAACCUAGGAAUUGCGCUUGUGACUGGCGGGCUCGAGUACGGUAGAGGGGGGUGGAAUUCCUGGUGUAGCAGUGAAAUGCGUAGAGAUCAGGAGGAACACCGAUGGCGACGGCAGCCCCCUGGGCCUGUACUGACGCUCAUGCACGAAAGCGUGGGGAGCAAACAGGAUUAGAUACCCUGGUAGUCCACGCCCGAAACGAUGGGUACUAGCCGUUUGGUGCGCGAUAGCGCUGAGUGGCGAAGCUAACGCGUGAAGUACCCCGCCUGGGGAGUACGGCCGCAAGGUUGAAACUUAAAGGAAUUGGCGGG